CUCGAUGGUAGUGUAUUGGACUACCAUGGCACUCACGGGUAACGGAGAAUUAGGGUUCGAUUCCGGAGAGGGAGCCUGAGAAACGGCUACCACAUCUAAGGAAGGCAGCAGGCGCGUAAAUUACCCAAUCCUAAUUCAGGGAGGUAGUGACAAGAAAUAACAGGCCGGUGCUUCGCAUCGUGUUUGCAAUGAGUUUAAUCCAAAACCCUUUUCGAGUAACAAUUGGAGGGCAAGUCUGGUGCCAGCAGCCGCGGUAAUUCCAGCUCCAAUAGCGUAUAUUAAAGUUGUUGCAGUUAAAAAGCUCGUAGUUGGAUUUCUGAAGGCGCGACAAUGUCCGCUGUAUGCGUGUGCAGCGUUGCUCCUUCAUCCUUCUGUUAACGUUUCUUGGUAUUCAUUUACUGGUUUCGGGCUCAGAUAUUUUACCUUGAGAAAAUUAGAGUGUUUCAGGCAGGCUUGUGCUGGAAUACAUUAGCAUGGAAUAAUGGAAAAGGACUUUAGUCUCUUUUGUUGGUUUGAGGGACUUCAGUAAUGAUUAAUAGGGAUAGUUGGGGGCUAUUAGUAUUUAAUUGUCAGAGGUGAAAUUCUUAGAUUUGUUAAAGACUAACUAAUGCGAAAGCAUUUGCCGAAGGAUGUUUUCAUUAAUCAAGAACGAAAGUUAGGGGAUCAAAGACGAUCAGAUACCGUC
rnacentral:rRNA from 1 species